rnacentral:rRNA from 1 species
UACGUAGGGUGCGAGCGUUAAUCGGAAUUACUGGGCGUAAAGCGUGCGCAGGCGGUUUUAUAAGUUUGUCGUGAAAGCCCCGGGCUCAACCUGGGAAUGGCGAUGAAGACUGUAAGGCUAGAGUGUGUCAGAGGGGGGUAGAAUUCCACGUGUAGCAGUGAAAUGCGUAGAUAUGUGGAGGAACACCGAUGGCGAAGGCAGCCCCCUGGGAUAACACUGACGCUCAUGCACGAAAGCGUGGGGAGCAAACAGG